UAGAAUACAUCAACAAACUCAUACAGGGUAGAAACCUUUAAAUGUAUGGAGUGUUGAAAGAGCUUCAGACAGUGUGGAGACCUUAAUAUUCAUGAGUGAAUUCACCCAGGUGAAAAGCCGUAUCAAGUCUUAAGGAAAUUAGCCCUGAGUGCUCAUUGGAAGGAGAAAUCAUGAAGCUGAGGCUGCAAUACUUUGGCCACCUCAUGAGAAGAGAAGACUCGACUUCCAGGGUCGGCGCCAUCGGUAAUGGUGGAUUCCCUCUAACUUUGAGGGAUUAAGCUUUGCGGAAAUUGGGUCUUGCCGCUACGGCAAAGCGGGGACCCCUCUAAAAAUCACAGGCGGGUGAAGCCUGUGACCGUGGGACUCGGUGGACACCUUCAGUGCCCCCCCAAUUCAGCGCCCCACCUGGAAAGUCGACUGAAAAGGACUAUAAUCCUAACAUCAAUACAAGAGAUCUCCCUCCCUUGGUUGGAGGAGGGGGGGGGAAAGGGAGAAGUAAAUUUUCCUGCAAAAAGAGAGGAAAGGAAACAAAAGUCCACCGCUUAAAGCCUGGGAACGGGCUGCCAAUGGACAAUAAGAUUGCCGCAUUGUGAAGCGCACUGCUUAUGGACAAUGUAAUUUUUGACAGCUAACUCUGCAAGAGAGAUACAUUGUUUCUGACUGGUUUCUCCUGAUUUUAAGGUAACAAAACUAACUGAAAUUGAAACUGUUGCUUAUUUUGUUAAAUGGGGGACUAGAAAAAGUUAUUUUAAUGCAACAAGUAUUGACUGUUACUGUGUCCCCCUAGAGGAAGUUUGAAAUUGUUACAACAACUGGCCAGGGGCAUUUUCCACUUCAAAACAAACUCUGGCCGUGGGAUCGACCUUGGGCUCCAGUUAAAGUGUUAUGGCAGAUGGAAAAGAAAAAA